AUAGAAAAGAAGAUUAAGCGACAAUUUUAACCAAACAUGAUGCAUUGAUACCGUAAAGUACAUAAGCUUUGUUUUAUAAAGCAUGUUCGUGAAUACAGACAAAUUACAAAUUAAAACGUGUACGGCCGUGAUGAUAUAGAUUUGUUCGCGUUAGCCUUGACUUGAGUUAAUAAGUUAGAUUACUAGCAAAUUUCAAUAAGUUAAUCUUUUCUUCGUUGUUAAUGGCAUAAUUGUUAAAACGCAAAUAAUAUAGCCUAAUCUACUUCGUUUAUCUUAAAACGAGAAUUGACUACUUUCAUAGCACUGGUUUAUUUUUUAAUUUAUUCCGAAGGUUUAUUAUACGUUUGAAACAUUUUUUAGCUGCUGUGAAGAUUUCUAAAUUAGUUAGAAAAUUAUCACUCUGACACGUUAGACACUCAAGAACGCUAUUUAAGUCAAUUAAGUUUCAAAUAUGUACAUGAUGCUUCACGUGCUGAUAGGAUGAAUUACAAGCAUAUACACGUGUAAUGCAAAUAUGUGGAUAUCAUCAUAAAACACUGAAUACAAAAUUAUAGUAUACUGAACCGGAUUUCUCAACACGAAUAUACAAUUGGAACGUAUGGAUAAAAAAUCCAAUUGGGUGGUGCAGUGUUAAAUUCUCGUUAAGGAGUCAUUCGAGGUACUUUUUAAGUCGAAUAGAAAUGCCAUCAAAAUAUAACGUUUAUUUCAUUAUGCUCGUUAAUGUAUUCGUGUUUCAUUGCAUUCACUCGUGAUUUUCAAUGCUUCUUUAUCAGUCACGAUGAUCCGUGUGGCUUUAAUAUCAACCAUACGACACAGGAGGAAGGUUUCCAACUGGUCUCCAAGCGGUUUUGAAAUCUUCAUCGAACAAAAUCUCGUGCACGCGAUUAUCCUUUUACACGCGAAUUCUUUGCAAAAAAUAAGAUACUACAAAGCUGACACGAGAUGUCAAGAAAAAAGAUGUCGUAAAAGUCCAAAGUUUUUAAGUUUUUAAUUAUCUGUACCUGCCACUACUACGGAUAUAGCUAGAAAUUUGUGUCAUCGAGAAGGAAGCUGUCAAACGUCAGAUGGAAACAAUGUAACAAGAAAAUUACAAACCACGCUCUGGCAAUGAUCGCGAACAACGUGUCUGACUAUCGUUACUUUUAAUGCUACGUACCACUUGGCUGCGGCUUGUCGUCUGAUUGAGAAGCCCUCGCGAUACGCGUUUAUUGAGCGAUCGCAAUCAACGUUUUGAAAAGGUCGCGGCGGGUGCAGGAAGUCGGCCGAUUGUCGAUCUAUCGGCACAUUCUUCUCACAAUCGUGUAUCCACCAGCAGCGAAGUCACCUUAUUCUCAACCUCGAUCGCCGAGCGUGCCGAGAACAGCACUGACACUGAACAAACCGCACCGUAACCAGACGGUCCAAAGCGCCGCUCGAUAGAUCGAAACACGUUCUCGUACUACAGACUAGCGAUGGACUCGAGUUUUUAUAUUUACUUCGUCUCUUCGUGCCAAUCUUACUUUUCUGCUUACGCAUACAGUAACACGCAUGAACAUUCGAAUACCACGGUAUUCGCAAGAUUAUUGUCCUAUAUAUAUAUAUAUAUAUAUAUAUUUGUUUACAGCAACGUUGUUGAAUUAAUUGUUUUUUAAUAUAUUAAAAGACUUAUGGUAAUUAGUAGAAACGUAAAUUUUAUUUAUUUAUUUUGUAUAUUAAGCAAUAAAUUAAAUAAGGUCAGAAUUUAAAUAUACAUAUAUUAAUUAUACAUAUAUUAAGUAUGUAGAUUGUAUAGUGUACACAUAUGUUUUAUGUGUUUUAUUAUUUGAUUUGGUGUAAAAUCAGAUAUUAAUUAAUAUGACGUGUUUCAUAUAUUUCAUGUUAAAUUUCGACGUUACUUGGUUUAUCUCUUGUGAUGCAAAAAACUGUGCACAACAGAUAAAAUGUGUGUUUUUAUUAGCUGGAAUAAAUGUUUUGAUAUAUUAAAAAGAAUUAAAAUUAAAAGAAUUAGAAUUUAGCAAUGCUGUUAUAAACAAAUAUAUGAAUCCCAAAUGCCAAAAUAUUGAUAAGAGUCAUAUUAUGCUCAAUUAUAUUAUCGUUGGUAUUCUUGACAGUAUACGUAUUAGUAUAUACAUGUAUCUAACUCUGCUACGUUCUUUUCGUCAUUUUCGUCUCAAUUAUACUUUUCUUAUGAAAAAGAAUAUCUUCACAGUCUGGCCAAACUAUGAAAAAUGUCUCAUGUGUAUUUCCUCGUUUCAACUGUAUGUUAAACGUCUUCUUGAAACAUUACAAAUUCUUUUUUUGACUAAUAUGAGAGCAAGAUUGAAGUAUAAAAAUUCGAAGAUCGUAGCAAAGUUACAGACAACAUAGAAGAAUAUUUUAAAAUAUAACUGGUCUAUAUUUUGAUUUUUUGGCUGUUGUGUCACUUGACGACUAAAAACGAAGUGUUAAAUUGUAAAACCAACAUUCUUAAUUCAAAUAUAUAUUAUUAAAUCACUUCAA